UGAGAAGGGUACUUUACCUCUUUAGCAUUUUUCAUCAAAAUUUGUAACUUCAGUCUAAUGAGAAAAUAUCAGACAAUCCAAAUUGAGGAGCAUUCUACAAAAUGUCCAGUACUCUUCAAAAGUGUCAAGAUCCCCCAAAACAAGACAAGACUAAACAAGACAAGACUAAAAAACUGUCAUAGAUCAGAGAAGAAUGGAGAGACCUGGUGACUAAAUGCUUUGGGCUAUCCUGGAUUGGAUUCUAGAAUAGCAAAUAAGCAACUUUCAGUAAAUACUUUUGUAAUUGCCCAUGAGUUGUCAAGCACUCAUGAGAUGAAGUUCCAACUCUACAGAUGAAAGCCCUGUUUUUGAAUCAAGCACUUCAUGAGUAAGGAUUUCACAAAGCUGCAAAAUCUGCUCUUGAGAACCCCUGACAACUAAAUAUUCCAUGGCUUCCACUGAUAAUCAUGCUGUCAGCUUGUCAUAUACCAGGAGGUAUCAACAAUCACCAAGCUCUCGUGCAUUAACUACCUGUUUCACCUCCAUUGAGGAUAUGUCUCAGGUCAAUAAUUGGAUCUAUGAAACCUGGCUGUGAUAAAUACCAAGGAAUUCUAUGCCAGUUCACAGCAGUAAGAGUGCAGAAGUGCCAGAGUGGAGCUCUAAACUACUGUGAGGAAAUUCUAUGCACAUAGCUGGGGCCUCUCAGCUGCCAGACUUCUCUGUAGGGAACAAAGCAAGAACCAGAUGAUUGCUGAUGGACCCUGACAUGCUGCAUCUGGAGAUGUUUCCUCAGAGAGAAACCCUCUGUUCCCCUGUGCUGAGAGACUG
rnacentral:lncRNA from 1 species